CCCCCGAUAGCUCAGCUGGAAGAGCGCGAGACUGUAAAUCUUGAGGUCGCUGGUUCGAUCCCGGCUCGGGGAU
rnacentral:tRNA from 1 species